rnacentral:rRNA from 1 species
AACGAACGCUGGCGGCAUGCCUAACACAUGCAAGUCGAACGAAACCUUCGGGUCUAGGGGCGCACGGGUGCGUAACGCGUGGGAACCUGCCCUUAGGUUCGGAAUAACUCCCCGAAAGGGGUGCUAAUACCGGAUAAUGUCUUCGGACCAACGAUUUAUCGCCUUUGGAUGGGCCCGCGUUGGAUUAGCUAGUUGGUAGGGUAAAAGCAUACCAAGGCGACGAUCCAUAGCUGGUCUGAGAGGAUGAUCAGCCACACUGGGACUGAGACACGGCCCAGACUCCUACGGGAGGCAGCAGUGGGGAAUAUUGGACAAUGGGCGAAAGCCUGAUACAGCAAUGCCGCGUGAGUGAUGAAGGCCUUAGGGUUGUAAAGCUCUUUUACCCGGGAUGAUAAUGACAGUACCGGGAGAAUAAGCGCCGGCUAACUCCGUG